rnacentral:rRNA from 1 species
GACGAACGCUGGCGGCGUGCCUAAUACAUGCAAGUCGAACGAGUUGCGGACGGGUGAGUAACCCGUGGGAACCUACCCAUCAGAGGGGGAUACGAUUUGGAAACAGGUGCUAAUACCGCAUACUGAUGGCUGGACCCGCGGGGCAUUAGCUAGUUGGUGAGGUAACGGCCUACCAAGGCGACGAUCCGUAACUGGUCUGAGAGGAUGACCAGUCACACUGGAACUGAGACACGGUCCAGACUCCUACGGGAGGCAGCAGUGGGGAAUAUUGGACAAUGGGCGAAAGCCUGAUCCAGCCAUGCCGCGUGUGUGAAGAAGGUCUUCGGAUUGUAAAGCACUUUAAGUGGGGAGGCGUUACCAACAGAAGAAGCACCGGCUAACUUCGUGCCAGCAGCCGCGGUAAUUC